rnacentral:piRNA from 1 species
AGAAUUCACACUGGAGAAAAACGCUA